rnacentral:rRNA from 1 species
UGGCGGACGGGUGAGGAAUACAUCGGAAUCUACUCUGUCGUGGGGGAUAACGUAGGGAAACUUACGCUAAUACCGCAUACGACCUACGGGUGAAAGCAGGGGAUCUUCGGACCUUGCGCGAUUGAAUGAGCCGAUGUCGGAUUAGCUAGUUGGCGGGGUAAAGGCCCACCAAGGCGACGAUCCGUAGCUGGUCUGAGAGGAUGAUCAGCCACACUGGAACUGAGACACGGCCCAGACUCCUACGGGAGGCAGCAGCC